GUGGAGUAGUAAUACUGUCUAGUGGGAGGUGGGGUAGUAAUGCUGUCUAGUGGGAGGUGGGGUAGCGGUUCAUAUAGAGAGUCAUCUUCUGAAGGAGUUGUGCAUGUUUCUGGUGAGAGAUGCUGUCUAGUGGGAGGUGGGGUAGUAAUACUGUCUGGUGAGAGAUGCUGUCUAGUGGGAGGUGGGGUAGUAAUGCUGUCUGGUGAGAGAUGCUGUCUAGUGGGAGGUGGGGUAGCGGUUCAUAUAGAGAGUCAUCUUCUGAAGGAGUUGUGCAUGUUUCUGGUGAGAGAUGCUGUCUAGUGGGAGGUGGAGUAGUAAUACUGUCUAGUGGGAGGUGGGGUAGUAAUGCUGUCUAGUGGGAGGUGGGGUAGCGGUUCAUAUAGAGAGUCAUCUUCUGAAGGAGUUGUGCAUGUUUCUGGUGAGAGAUGCUGUCUAGUGGGAGGUGGAGUAGUAAUACUGUCUAGUGGGAGGUGGGGUAGUAAUGCUGUCUAGUGGGAGGUGGGGUAGCGGUUCAUAUAGAGAGUCAUCUUCUGAAGGAGUUGUGCAUGUUUCUGGUGAGAGAUGCUGUCUAGUGGGAGGUGGGGUAGUAAUACUGUCUAGUGGGAGGUGGGGUAGCGGUUCAUAGAGAGAGUCAUCUUCUGAAGGAGUUGUGCAUGUUUCUGGUGAGAGAUGCUGUCUAGUGGGAGGUGGGGUAGUAAUACUGUCUGGUGAGAGAUGCUGUCUAGUGGGAGGUGGGGUAGUAAUGCUGUCUGGUGAGAGAUGCUGUCUAGUGGGAGGUGGGGUAGCGGUUCAUAUAGAGAGUCAUCUUCU